UACGUAGGGUGCGAGCGUUAAUCGGAAUUACUGGGCGUAAAGCGUGCGCAGGCGGUUUUGUAAGUCAGAUGUGCAAUCCCCGAGCUCACCUUGGGAACUUCGUUUGAAACUACAAGACUAGAGUAGGUCAGAGGGGGGUAGAAUUCCACGUGUAGCAGUGAAAUGCGUAGAGAUGUGGAGGAAUACCAAUGGCGAAGGCAGCCCCCUGGGAUAACACUGACGCUCAUGUACGAAAGCGUGGGUAGCAAACAGG
rnacentral:rRNA from 1 species